CUCGCGUUGAGAAGUCUUGUUCGCACGGAAGGCCAAAACCGCACACAUUGGAUCGGCCUGAAGAACAAGUGGCGCUUUCGUCUGCGUGAGAGGCGCUGGAAAUGGGAAGAUGGGUCUAGAUUGAGCAACUACAAAGGAUGGAACCCAGGACAGCCAGAUAACCGCGGGUUUCAUCAUUGGUGUGUGCACUACUGGUGUGGUCCUACUGGUUAUCCCAUGUGGAAUGAUCGUAUGUGUGAAACAAAGCACGGGUUUAUUUGUCAACGAUCUUUUGCAUAAACGAGACAAAAGAAGCCCGGUAAAACAUACUGGCUCAUAUAGAAAUUGCUGAACUUUCUUUCCAACACUGAAAUCAAUAUAGGGACUUACCUUAAAUUUUUCGGUCAAACUCCGUCGACCUUGUUUACAGAAUGACCAUCUCUAUCUCCUGCAGUGACGUCAGGAACACGCCACUUUUGAAGGAGGGGGUCAUAAGUAUCAGAAAGUCUAUGUCGCCCCCCGUCUCUUUUGAGUGUGGGCCUGUGGGCUCUGUGGGUUCCUGACUUCACUGCUGGAGAUAGAGAGGGUCAUUCUGUGUACAAGGUCAACGGAGUUUGACCGAAAAUUUAGGGUCACACAGUCUUUUAUGGAUAAGGUAUGUUUUGGAUAGUCCAAGUUUACGUUGACGACUGAAAUGUGGGAGGGAGUGUUCCAGGGACAGUUUUUUAUGAGGCAAAUCCGAAAUGUGCAUUAAUGCAUGGUUGUGCAAUUUAGAUUUUCAAUUCGCUAUGGAAGAGAGUUAGAAGUUGGCGGAGUUGACUGUUAAAUAAUGUUAGUUAUAGUUCAUAAGUGACAUUGGCGUUAUGAAAGAAAAAUUACCAGUGACUGUGGAAACAAUAAGUCGGAGAACAUGGGUAGGAUAGAAGAUAUUCAAGGAGUUGGGUAAUAUAUAUAUUUAAUAAGAGGGUGCAACUGAUUGCAAGGCAAUUUUGCAUUCUUUUAAAGUGAACUUCAUAAUCAAAUGCACUGAACCAACUAACAUAGGAACAUUGUUCUUUUAUUACUGAGCGACCAAGUCCAAGCUAGACUGCUCUCUGAUAUAGCGAGAAGGCAUCGCGAUUGGAAAUUAUACAUAUUUCAAGAAGUCAAUUGAAAACAACGUAAGCCUAAGAAAUACUUCUUAUACUCUCACACCAAAUGGGAUUCUGAACUUUAUUCAAAAGACAAAUUCAAGCUGAACAGGAGCUAAAUACUGGGCAAACUAUCAUGGCAGAAAUGUACAAAUGGCAAUGUAAGGAUGUCUUAAAUUCGUUUGUUUCUAAACCAUUAGUAAUAUUGGUCUAUAACUAUAAAAAGGUACAGAGCGAGACAGUCUAGGAUCUGAAAAAUAUCUACAAUGAAAUCCAAACGGAGGAUGUUGUGAACUAUUUGAAUUGAAGUAGUCAUCUUUCUAAGUGUUUUAUCCUCAAUUCGGCUUUCUUUGUUAUUUGGACUUAGUUUCAAACGUUUUGUCGAAAACUAUCAAGUAAAGUACAGAACAUUUGAAAAAGUACUGCGUCAAGUAAUAUAUUAAUAAACUUUUCUUAGUAUUGUACCUUUAUUUCUGGAAGAGUAGACAAAAACUUGAGAUUUUAAACUUUUAAAGUAGAAGAUAUACUAGACAGGGGAUUCUAAGAAUUUAUUCCUCUGAAUCUUACCCAUGUUCGGGGCCAUGUUUUUACACAGUGCUAUCUGUUGUUUAUUUCUGUAACUAAAGCAGGCGAUGCUAAUGGUUGCUGUUUUCGUAGUAAUAUGGUAUGAUUAAUUACGCUGAUAUUUAUAGGAAACUUUGUAAUGAUUUUUAUGUCAAGUGCACUGGUACUUCAAUUUAAGAUGAUACCAAUAUGUGCGGGACAUUUCAGUCACAUGAUCUGAAAAACAUGGCUGCAGACAACAAAACUACUUCCUCAGAGACUUUGAGGUAAAACAUAAUGUUGUAUCCAUUUUAUUGUUUUACUUCCAGAAAAGGAGUCAAACCCCAAAUGUUUAGAUUGUAGCUCUUAGCUGUACAUAUCAUCGCUAGAAUAGCCUCUUGUUUCUACAUAUCACGAUUGUUAUCUAAAGUCUUUUUGAUUAUAUUUCAGACCUACCAUAGGUAUGGUGAAAUAUAUUGAAUACGUAAUUAUAUUUCAGCCAUACCAUAGGUAUGGUAAAAUAUAUUGUAUUCGUAAUGUUUCUUUCUCCUGUCAAAUCUUCAAAUCGAAUCAUCCCCGGAUAUUGAAAAUCGGAAUGCUCCUCUUCUUCUCCACACAUUACAUAGCUGCAAUUGAAGAUUGGAAUACUUCUCUUCUUUUUCACACAUAACACAUCUGCUAUUGAAGAUCGGAAUACUCCUCUUUUUCUCCAAGCAUAACACAGCUGCUAUUGAAGAUCGGAAUACUCCUCUUCUUCUCCACACAUAACACAGCUGAUAUUGAAGAUUAGAAUGCUCCAUUUCUUCUCCACACAUAACACUGCUAUUGAAGAUCGAAAUACUCCUCUUCUUCUUCGCACAUAACACAGCUGCUAUUUAAGAUCGGAAUACUCCUUUUCUUCUCCACACAAAACACAGCUGUUUUUAAAGAUCGGAAUACUCCCCUUCUUCUCCACACAUAACACAGCUGCUAUUGAAGAUCUGAAUACUCCCCUUCUUCUCCCCACAUAACACAUCUGCUUUUGAAGAUCGGAAUACUCCUCUUCUUCUCCACACAUAACACAGCUGCUAUUGAAGAUCUGAAUACUCCCCUUCUUCUGCACACAUAACACAGCUGCUAUUGAAGAUCUGAAUACUCCCUUUCUUCUCCACACAUAACACAGCUGCUAAUGAAGAUCGGAAUACUCCUCUUCUUUCCCACACAUAACACAGAUGCUAUAGAAGAUCGGAAUACUCCUCUUCUUCUCCACACAUAACUGCUGCUUUUAAAGAUCGGAAUAAUCCUCUUCUUCUCCACACAUAACACAGCUGCUAUUGAAGAUCGGAAUACUCCUCUUCUUCUCCACACAUAACAGAGCUAAUAUUGAAGAUCGGAAUACUCCUCUUCUUCUCCACACAUAACACAGCUGCUAUUGAAGAUCGGAAUACUCCACUUCUUCUCCACACGUAACACGGCUGUUACUGAAGAUCGGAAUACUCCUCUUCUUCUUCACACCUAACACAGCUGCUAUUGAAGAUCGGAAUACUCCUCUUCUUCUCCGCACAUAACAACAGUUCAUAUUUAAGAUCGGAAUACUUUUCUUCUCCACACAUAACACAUCUGCUUAAUUGAAGAUCGGAAUACUCCUCUUCUUCUCCACACAUAACACAUCUGUUGAAUUGAAGAUCGGAAUACUCCUCUUCUUCUCCACACAUAACACAUCUGUUGAAUUGAAGAUCGGAAUACUCCUCUUCUUCUCCACACAUAACACAUCUGUUUAAUUGAAGAUCGGAAUACUCCUUUUCUUCUCCACACAUAACACAGCUGUUUUUAAUGAUCGGAAUACUCCCCUUCUUCUCCACACAUAACACAGCUGCUAUUGAAGAUCGGGAUACUCCUCUUCUUCUCCACACAUAACACAGCUGCUAUUGAAGAUCGGAAUACUCCUCUUCUUCUUCACACCUAACACAGCUGCUAUUGAAGAUCGGAAUACUCCUCUUCUUCUCCGCACAUAACAGCUCAUAUUUAAGAUCGGAAUACUCUUCUUCUCCACACAUAACACAUCUGCUUAAUUGAAGAUCGGAAUACUCAUCUUCUUCUCCACACAUAACACAUCUGCUUAAUUGAAGAUCGGAAUACUCCUUUUCUUCUCCACACAUAACACAGCUGUUUUUAAUGAUCGGAAUACUCCCCUUCUUCUCCACACAUAACACAGCUGCUAUUUAAGAUCGAAAUACUCCUCCUCUUCUUCACACAUAACACAGCUGCUAUUGAAGAUCUGAAUACUCCUCUUCUUCUCCACAUAUAACACAGCUGCUAAUGAAGAUCGGAAUACUCCUCUUCUUUCCCACACAUAACACAGCUACUAUCGAAGAUUCGAAUACUCCUCUUCUUCUCCACACAUAACCGCUGCUUUUAAAGAUCGGAAUAAUCCUCUUCUUCU